rnacentral:tRNA from 9 species
GCUGGUGUAGCUCAGUUGGCUAGAGCAGCUGAUUUGUAAUCAGCAGGUCGGGGGUUCAAGUCCCUUCACCAGCUCCA